ensembl:lncRNA
UGUCAGAUGGCUUUCCUCUAGGGGAUGUGGGGGAGGCAGGAAUGGGAAAAAAACACAGAAAGUAGAGUUGGGGAAACAUUCGUGAAUUUCAUUUAUUUCCCAAUUUUUCCCAGUAUCAGUUCUGUGUAUGUUUUAAGCCAAAAUUUCAUGAAUCUUUGUGUUUCAGCAUUUGUCCACCUUAGGAAAAAUGGAGUGAGCAAGUUAGCCAAAUCAUUUCUGACAUCUCAAUUUUACAUGCUGGUACCAUGUUAUGAAAUAUUGUAUGGGAGGGAGGCAUCACCGAAUGUUUAUCUGUUUGUCUCUUGUCCUAAUUAAGUCCAUGUGGAUCCCAUGUGACUUCAGAGUAUGGAGACCACGUUUCCAUGAUUGUUUUGCUUUAUAUUUUCCUUUAGUGUGCUGCCUCAAUUAGAGAGGGAACAAAUCAAUAUUUGGAUUUGGAGAUUUUCCCUAUGAGGUUGAAAAUUUGGGCACUGUCAUCCACUCUGGGCUUAUGUCUUCAAAGCGUCAAAACCACAGAGAGCUCUUACUGGGAACAUCCUGGGAAAGUCUUUGACUAUGGUUGUGACUAUGGUCACACGCCCAUCACUGAACCAGUCACCAUAGCCAAAAGGGUCCUUUCAACCAUCUGAUAGACUUCCCAGGUGGUAAAGAACCUGCCUGCCAAUACAGGAGACAUAGAAGAUGCAGGUUCGAUUCUUGGGUUUGGAAGAUCCCCUGGAGGAGGAAACAGCAACCCACUCCAGUAUUCUUGCCUGGAAAAUCCCAUGGAAAGAGGAGCCUGGUGGGCUAUAGGGUUGCAGAGUUGGACUCGACUGAGCGACUGAGCAUGCACGCAAUCAUCUGGCGCUAAUAUCCGUGAGUUAGAUGAAGCCCAUUCAGUUUAUAUGUGACAUCCUCCUAGUUUUAUCUCCUCUCAAACACAUUUCAGAAACUCAUAAAUU